GAUGAACGCUGGCGGCGUGCCUAACACAUGCAAGUCGAGCGGGAUUUUCCGGAUUGAAGCUUCGGUAGAUUGAAGGAAAUGAGAGCGGCGGACGGGUGAGUAACGCGUAGGCAACCUGCCCUUUGCAGAGGGAUAGCCAUUGGAAACGAUGAUUAAAACCUCAUAAUGCCACGAAGUGACAUCGCUUUGUGGCCAAAGNUUUAUCGGCAAAGGAUGGGCCUGCGUCUGAUUAGCUAGUUGGUGGGGUAACGGCUCACCAAGGCGACGAUCAGUAGCCGACCUGAGAGGGUGAUCGGCCACAUUGGAACUGAGACACGGUCCAAACUCCUACGGGAGGCAGCAGUGGGGAAUAUUGCACAAUGGGCGAAAGCCUGAUGCAGCAACGCCGCGUGAGCGAAGAAGGCCUCGGUGUAAGCUCUGUCCUUAGGAG
rnacentral:rRNA from 1 species